UGGGGAAUCUUCCGCAAUGGACGAAAGUCUGACGGAGCAACGCCGCGUGUAUGAUGAAGGUCUUCGGAUUGUAAAGUACUGUCAUUGGGGAAGAACGGUUUUCUUGAAAAGAUUGAGAAGACACGACGGUACCCAAGGAGGAAGCCCCGGCUAACUACGUGCCAGCAGCCGCGGUAAUACGUAGGGGGCAAGCGUUGUCCGGAAUUAUUGGGCGUAAAGGGCGCGUAGGCGGGCCUUUAAGUCCGGUGUGAAAGAUCAGGGCUCAACCCUGAGAGUGCAUCGGAAACUGGAGGCCUUGAGGACAGGAGAGGAAAGUGGAAUUCCACGUGUAGCGGUGAAAUGCGUAGAUAUGUGGAGGAACACCAGUGGCGAAGGCGACUUUCUGGACUGUAACUGACGCUGAGGCGCGAAAGCGUGGGGAGCAAACA
rnacentral:rRNA from 1 species